rnacentral:rRNA from 1 species
AGAAUCAACGCUGGCGGCGUACCUAACACAUGCAAGUCGCACGAGAAAGGGGAGCAAUCCCUGAGUACAGUGGCGCACGGGUGAGUAACACGUGAAUCAUCUACCUCCGAGUGGGGAAUAACUGAGAGAAAUCUUAGCUAAUACCGCAUAAUACCCACGGGUCAAAGCAGCAAUGCGCUUGGAGAGGAGUUCGCGGCAGAUUAGUUAGUUGGCGGGGUAAUGGCCCACCAAGACGAUGAUCUGUA